rnacentral:misc_RNA from 1 species
UCCCCGUUACCGGGGCAGUCUAGCUAGAGAAAUUCAACUAACUACAAGGGUUGCGCUCGUUGAUGGACUUAACCAAACAUCUCACGACACGAGCUGACGACGGCCAUGCAACACCUGUCAUUGGGCUCCCGAAGGCACUCUUUCCUUUCGGAAAGAUUCCCAAGAUGUCAAACCCUGGUAAGGUUCUACGCUUACCAUCGAAUUAAACAACACGCUCCACCGCUUGUGCGGGUCCCCGUCAAUUCCUUUAUGUUUUAAGCUUGCGCUCGUACUCCACAGGCGGGAUGCUUAACGCGUUAGCUUCGCUACUAGAAGGGUCGAUACUUCUAACAGCUAGCAUCCAUAGUUUACGGCGUGGACUAC